AUGAACGCUGGCGGUGUGCCUUAAGCAUGCAAGUCGAACGGAGAGAUGUUCCACACUGUGUGGGAUGUCAAUCAGUGGCGGACGGGUGAGUAUAAGCAGGGAACGUACCUUGAACUAUCGCAUAGCUCGUCGAAAGACGGGGUAAUACGGUAUGUGAUCGCAAGAUUAAAGUCGUAAGACGGUUCUAGAGCGGCCCUGUUCCCAUCAGCUAGUUGGUAGGGUAAUGGCCUACCAAGGCGACGACGGGUAGGGGGUGUGAGAGCACGACCCCCCACAAUGGCACUGAGACACGGGCCAUACAUCUACGGAUGGCAGCAACUGGGAAUAUUCGGCAAUGGGCGAAAGCCUGACCGAGCGACACCGCGUGAGGGAUGAAGUAUUUCGGUAUGUAAACCUCUUUUAUAUAGUCGUCGAGGCUAUAAGAAUAAGCACCUACAAACUACGU
rnacentral:rRNA from 1 species